rnacentral:rRNA from 1 species
CCUACGGGAGGCAGCAGUGGGGAAUAUUGGACAAUGGGCGAAAGCCUGAUCCAGCCAUGCCGCGUGUGUGAAGAAGGCCUUCGGGUUGUAAAGCACUUUCAGUGGGGAAGAAAGCCUUGGGGCUAAUACCCUCGAGGAAGGACAUCACCCACAGAAGAAGCACCGGCUAACUCCGUGCCAGCAGCCGCGGUAAUACGGAGGGUGCGAGCGUUAAUCGGAAUUACUGGGCGUAAAGCGCGCGUAGGCGGUCUGAUAAGCCGGUUGUGAAAGCCCCGGGCUCAACCUGGGAACGGCAUCCGGAACUGUCAGGCUAGAGUGCAGGAGAGGAAGGUAGAAUUCCCGGUGUAGCGGUGAAAUGCGUAGAGAUCGGGAGGAAUACCAGUGGCGAAGGCGGCCUUCUGGACUGACACUGACGCUGAGGUGCGAAAGCGUGGGUAGCAGACAGGAUUAGAUACCCUAGUAGUC